rnacentral:snRNA from 1 species
GUACUGGCUUCGGCGCUACAUAUACUAAAAUUGGAACGAUACAGAAAAUAUUAACAUGGCCCGUGUGCAAGAAUGACAUGCAAAAUCGUGAAGCGUUCCACAUUUUC